CACUCCUACGGGAGGCAGCAGUGGGGAAUUUUGGACAAUGGGCGAAAGCCUGAUCCAGCAAUGCCGCGUGAGUGAAGAAGGCCUUCGGGUUGUAAAGCUCUUUUGUCAGGGAAGAAACGGUGAAAGCUAAUAUCUUUUGCUAAUGACGGUACCUGAAGAAUAAGCACCGGCUAACUACGUGCCAGCAGCCGCGGUAAUACGUAGGGUGCAAGCGUUAAUCGGAAUUACUGGGCGUAAAGCGUGCGCAGGCGGUUUUGUAAGUCUGAUGUGAAAUCCCCGGGCUCAACCUGGGAAUUGCAUUGGAGACUGCAAGGCUAGAAUCUGGCAGAUGGGGGUAGAAUUCCACGUGUAGCAGUGAAAUGCGUAGAUAUGUGGAGGAACACCGAUGGCGAAGGCAGCCCCCUGGGUCAAGAUUGACGCUCAUGCACGAAAGCGUGGGGAGCAAACAGGAUUAGAUACCCUUGUAGUCCCAUGA
rnacentral:rRNA from 1 species